AACUUUUGGCAAUGGAUCACUUGGCUCUCGCAUCGAUGAAGAACGCAGCGAAAUGCGAUACGUAAUGUGAAUUGCAGAAUCCAGUGAAUCAUCGAAUCUUUGAAAGCACCUUGCGCCCCUUGGCAUUCCGAGGGGGACACCCGUUUGAGUGGCGUUAAAUUCUCAAAAACCUGUCUUUGGAAGGGAUUUUGGACUUGGAGGCCUUUUGCUGGUUUCACCUUGAAGCGAACUCCUCCCAAUUGGAGUAGUGGGGUCCGCUUUGCCGAUCCUGGACGUGAUCAGAUGUCUCUACGUCUUGGGUUUGGGACUGUCACUCGGCCACCCGCUUCUAACCGUCUCGUCGACAACGAUCGCGUUCCGGUCACCACCGUUUCAUCGGUGGGAGGCUUGACCGACCAAAAAACCUUGACCGCAAAUCGGGUGGGACUACCCGCUGAACUUAAGCAUAUCAAUAAGCGGAGGCU
rnacentral:misc_RNA from 1 species